rnacentral:rRNA from 1 species
UGGCGUACGGGUGAGUAACACGUGGAUAAUCUACCCUGGAGUGGGGAAUAACGCUGGGAAACCGGCGCUAAUACCGCAUAAUCCCGAGAGGGCAAAGGGACUUUGUGAAAGCAAGGUCUCGCUUCAGGAGGAGUCCGCGGCCGAUUAGCUAGUUGGCAGGGUAAAAGCCUACCAAGGCAACGAUCGGUAGCCGGCCUGAGAGGGCACACGGCCACACUGGCACUGAAACACGGGCCAG